GGUUAAGCGACUAAGCGUACACGGUGGAUGCCCUGGCAGUCAGAGGCGAUGAAGGACGUGCUAAUCUGCGAUAAGCGUCGGUGAGGUGAUAUGAACCGUUAUAACCGGCGAUUUCCGAAUGGGGAAACCCAGUGUGAUUCGUCACACUAUCAUUAACUGAAUCCAUAGGUUAAUGAGGCGAACCGGGGGAACUGAAACAUCUAAGUACCCCGAGGAAAAGAAAUCAACCGAGAUUCCCCCAGUAGCGGCGAGCGAACGGGGAGCAGCCCAGAGCCUGAAUCAGUGUGUGUGUUAGUGGAAGCGUCUGGAAAGGCGCGCGAUACAGGGUGACAGCCCCGUACACAAAAAUGCACAUACUGUGAGCUCGAUGAGUAGGGCGGGACACGUGGUAUCCUGUCUGAAUAUGGGGGGACCAUCCUCCAAGGCUAAAUACUCCUGACUGACCGAUAGUGAACCAGUACCGUGAGGGAAAGGCGAAAAGAACCCCGGCGAGGGGAGUGAAAAAGAACCUGAAACCGUGUACGUACAAGCAGUGGGAGCCUCUUAAUGGGGUGACUGCGUACCUUUUGUAUAAUGGGUCAGCGACUUAUAUUCUGUAGCAAGGUUAACCGAAUAGGGGAGCCGAAGGGAAACCGAGUCUUAACUGGGCGUUAAGUUGCAGGGUAUAGACCCGAAACCCGGUGAUCUAGCCAUGGGCAGGUUGAAGGUUGGGUAACACUAACUGGAGGACCGAACCGACUAAUGUUGAAAAAUUAGCGGAUGACUUGUGGCUGGGGGUGAAAGGCCAAUCAAACCGGGAGAUAGCUGGUUCUCCCCGAAAGCUAUUUAGGUAGCGCCUCGUGAAUUCAUCUCCGGGGGUAGAGCACUGUUUCGGCAAGGGGGUCAUCCCGACUUACCAACCCGAUGCAAACUGCGAAUACCGGAGAAUGUUAUCACGGGAGACACACGGCGGGUGCUAACGUCCGUCGUGAAGAGGGAAACAACCCAGACCGCCAGCUAAGGUCCCAAAGUCAUGGUUAAGUGGGAAACGAUGUGGGAAGGCCCAGACAGCCAGGAUGUUGGCUUAGAAGCAGCCAUCAUUUAAAGAAAGCGUAAUAGCUCACUGGUCGAGUCGGCCUGCGCGGAAGAUGUAACGGGGCUAAACCAUGCACCGAAGCUGCGGCAGCGACGUUUAUGCGUUGUUGGGUAGGGGAGCGUUCUGUAAGCCUGCGAAGGUGUACUGUGAGGUAUGCUGGAGGUAUCAGAAGUGCGAAUGCUGACAUAAGUAACGAUAAAGCGGGUGAAAAGCCCGCUCGCCGGAAGACCAAGGGUUCCUGUCCAACGUUAAUCGGGGCAGGGUGAGUCGACCCCUAAGGCGAGGCCGAAAGGCGUAGUCGAUGGGAAACAGGUUAAUAUUCCUGUACUUGGUGUUACUGCGAAGGGGGGACGGAGAAGGCUAUGUUGGCCGGGCGACGGUUGUCCCGGUUUAAGCGUGUAGGCUGGUUUUCCAGGCAAAUCCGGAAAAUCAAGGCUGAGGCGUGAUGACGAGGCACUACGGUGCUGAAGCAACAAAUGCCCUGCUUCCAGGAAAAGCCUCUAAGCAUCAGGUAACAUCAAAUCGUACCCCAAACCGACACAGGUGGUCAGGUAGAGAAUACCAAGGCGCUUGAGAGAACUCGGGUGAAGGAACUAGGCAAAAUGGUGCCGUAACUUCGGGAGAAGGCACGCUGAUAUGUAGGUGAAGUCCCUCGCGGAUGGAGCUGAAAUCAGUCGAAGAUACCAGCUGGCUGCAACUGUUUAUUAAAAACACAGCACUGUGCAAACACGAAAGUGGACGUAUACGGUGUGACGCCUGCCCGGUGCCGGAAGGUUAAUUGAUGGGGUUAGCGGUAACGCGAAGCUCUUGAUCGAAGCCCCGGUAAACGGCGGCCGUAACUAUAACGGUCCUAAGGUAGCGAAAUUCCUUGUCGGGUAAGUUCCGACCUGCACGAAUGGCGUAAUGAUGGCCAGGCUGUCUCCACCCGAGACUCAGUGAAAUUGAACUCGCUGUGAAGAUGCAGUGUACCCGCGGCAAGACGGAAAGACCCCGUGAACCUUUACUAUAGCUUGACACUGAACAUUGAGCCUUGAUGUGUAGGAUAGGUGGGAGGCUUUGAAGUGUGGACGCCAGUCUGCAUGGAGCCGGCCUUGAAAUACCACCCUUUAAUGUUUGAUGUUCUAACGUUGGCCCCUUACCGGGGUUGCGGACAGUGUCUGGUGGGUAGUUUGACUGGGGCGGUCUCCUCCUAAAGAGUAACGGAGGAGCACGAAGGUUGGCUAAUCCUGGUCGGACAUCAGGAGGUUAGUGCAAUGGCAUAAGCCAGCUUGACUGCGAGCGUGACGGCGCGAGCAGGUGCGAAAGCAGGUCAUAGUGAUCCGGUGGUUCUGAAUGGAAGGGCCAUCGCUCAACGGAUAAAAGGUACUCCGGGGAUAACAGGCUGAUACCGCCCAAGAGUUCAUAUCGACGGCGGUGUUUGGCACCUCGAUGUCGGCUCAUCACAUCCUGGGGCUGAAGUAGGUCCCAAGGGUAUGGCUGUUCGCCAUUUAAAGUGGUACGCGAGCUGGGUUUAGAACGUCGUGAGACAGUUCGGUCCCUAUCUGCCGUGGGCGCUGGAGAACUGAGGGGGGCUGCUCCUAGUACGAGAGGACCGGAGUGGACGCAUCACUGGUGUUCGGGUUGUCAUGCCAAUGGCACUGCCCGGUAGCUAAAUGCGGAAGAGAUAAGUGCUGAAAGCAUCUAAGCACGAAACUUGCCCCGAGAUGAGUUCUCCCUGACUCCUUGAGAGUCCUGAAGGAACGUUGAAGACGACGACGUUGAUAGGCCGGGUGUGUAAGCGCAGCGAUGCGUUGAGCUAACCGGUACUAAUGAACCGUGAGGCUUAACCUU
rnacentral:rRNA from 1 species